GUGCUCCGCUUCGGCAGCACAUAUAACUAAAAUUGAAUGAUACAGAGAAGAUUAGCAUGGCCCUUGCGCAAGGAUGACACGCAAUUCGUGAAACAUUCCAUUUUUUU